UCAGGCCUAACACAUGCAAGUCGAGGGGUAACAGGAAAGCUUGCUUUCGCUGACGACCGGCGCACGGGUGCGUAACGCGUAUGCAACCUACCUCAUACUGGAGAAUAGCCCCUGGAAACGGGGAUUAAUACUCCAUGGUAUCAUUCUUUCGCAUGUUAGAAUGAUUAAAGAAUUUCGGUAUGAGAUGGGCAUGCGUCCCAUUAGCUAGUUGGUGAGGUAACGGCUCACCAAGGCAACGAUGGGUAGGGGGCCUGAGAGGGUGGUCCCCCACACUGGUACUGAGACACGGACCAGACUCCUACGGGAGGCAGCAGUGAGGAAUAUUGGUCAAUGGAGGCAACUCUGAACCAGCCAUGCCGCGUGAAGGAUGACGGCCCUAUGGGUUGUAAACUUCUUUUGAAUAGGAAGAAACUUAUCUACGUGUAGAUAACUGACGGUACUAUUAGAAUAAGGAUCGGCUAACUCCGUGCCAGCAGCCGCGGUAAUACGGAGGAUCCAAGCGUUAUCCGGAUUCAUUGGGUUUAAAGGGUCCGUAGGCGGGUCUUUAAGUCAGUGGUGAAAGCCGACAGCUCAACUGUCGAACUGCCAUUGAUACUGGAGACCUUGAGUACAAAUGAAGUAGGCGGAAUGAGUCAUGUAGCGGUGAAAUGCAUAGAUAUGACUCAGAACACCGAUUGCGAAGGCAGCUUACUAACAUGUA
rnacentral:rRNA from 1 species